rnacentral:rRNA from 1 species
CUAUGCCCCUAGCUGUGCCWUGYYKSYAYGACRUAACAUGUAAGCUAAUGUGAGAACCAUAGCCGCCGGAAGCCUAAAGUUUUUUCGUAAUGGAUUAUCCAACGAAAAUUAGUCAUUGCCUAAGAUGAGGACGCAAGUCGUAGUCGAUGGAAAGUAGUUUAAUAUUACUACACUUAAUAUAAUAACGCAUGACAAGUAAUGUAUAAAUUAAGAGUUAUUUUAUGCUAUAUGAGUUGUGACUAGAAAAAAUUAUAUAAUAAAAAAGAUGUACUUAAUCCGACACAGGUGGGCUGGUAUAAUUUACCAAGGCGUUAGAAUAAUGAUAUUAAAGGAACUCGGCAAAUUUCUUCCGUAACUUUUGGAAAAGGAAGACUUCUAUGUGGGCAACCAUGUAGGAGUUUUAAAAAUAGGGAGUGGCGACUGUUUAUCAAAAACAUAGGACUCUGCAAAAUAGAAUUAUGAAGUAUAGGGUCUGAGACCUGCCCAGUGUUCUGUAGUUAAAUGUUGGUGUUUACGCAUUGAUUAUAAGCUAGAAUAAACGGCGGCAGUAAAUAUAACUGUCCAAAGGUAGCAAAGUUCCUUGUCACGUAAGUUGUGACCCGCAUGAAAGGUUUAACGAUCUCUCCGCUGUCUCUAAUAUCAUUCUAGUGAAAUUUAAUUCUCCGUGCAAAUGCGGAGUACUUGUAGCUAGACGGAAAGUCCCUUUGCACCUUUACUAUAACUUUGUAUUAAUUUGUUGUUUGUAUUACGUAGCAUAUAGAGGAGACUAUGAAGCAAUGAUUUAGGUUGUUGUGGAGUCAUCAAUGAAAUACUCUAUAGUACAAAUUACAAGUUUAACUUAAUACCGUGAUCCGGUAUAAGGACAUUACAUGGUGGGUAGUUUCGCUGGGGCGGCGGCCUCCUAAAAAGUAACGGAGGCGCACUUAAGGCAAACUCAACCUGUAUAGAAAGCAGGUUUAGAGCGCAAUAGCAUAUGUUUGCUUAACUGCAAGGAUUACAAUCCGAGCAGCAAUGAAAGUUGGUUAUAGUGAUCCUAUGGUCCCUUUAUGGUAAGGCCAUAGCUCAACGGAUAAAAGGUACGCUAGGGAUAACAGGCUAAUCCCCUCUGAGAGAUCUUAUCGACGAGGGGGUUUGGCACCUCGAUGUCGACUCAUCACAUCCUGGAGGUGAAGUAGCUUCCAAGGGUUUGUCUGUUCGCCAAUUAAAGUGGUACGUGAGUUGGGUUCAGAACGUCGUGAGACAGUUCGGUUCCUAUCUACUACGAGCGUUUAAAUAUUGAUGGAGUCUACACUCAGUACGAGAGGACCAGUGUGGGCAUGCAUAUGGUGUAUCCAUUGUAUUACUCAAUGCAUAGUGGAGUAGCUAAGCAUGCUUGAAAUAAUUACUGAAAGCAUCUAAGUAAGAAGUUCAACCMMMGAUMRAUMKYASUMAUAUAUCCUAUAUAUUCAGAUAUAUUUACUAUAUUAUUAAUAGUGGUGNUAUAUCAUCGUAGUCGUAUGACAGGCGUUAGUCAAGGUCUG